rnacentral:rRNA from 1 species
UACGGAGGAUGCAAGCGUUAUCCGGAUUGAUUGGGCGUAAAGCGCACGCAGGCGGCUCGGCGCGUGGGGUGUGAAAGCUGGCGGCUUAACUGCCAGACGCCAUCCCAUACGGCUGGGCUCGAGCCCUGCAGAGGUCCAUGGAAUUGCCGGUGUAGUGGUGAAAUGCGUAGAGAUCGGGAAGAACAUCGGUGGCGAAAGCGCUCUACUGGACGGUAUCUGACACUGAGGGACGAAAGCUAGGGGAGCGAAUGGG